rnacentral:tRNA from 1 species
UCCUCGGUAGUAUAGUGGUCGAGUAUCCCCGCCUGUCCACGCGGGAGACCGGCGGUUCAAUUCCCCGACGGGGAGA